UGCUGGGAGUUUUGUACUGGCACCCAGCAUGAACUGCACAAUGAAAUUUUAUUUUCAUUGUCACCCAUGUUGAGAUUCACAGGCUGAAUGUUGAUGUCUGUGUGUGUUUACGGCCUAUCAUAGUUCAAAACUUUUAUUUGUCAUCAGUUUAAAGCUUUUAUUUAGGACUAUUGUGCUGAGAAAUUUCUCAAAAUCGUUGUGGUAGGUGUGAUUGGUGUAAUUCAAAAGUAUCUUUCCAACUCAGACUGCACAGGUUUUGCGUGUGAGGUGAGCUAAUCAAAAAUUGAAGAUCUAGGUAAACAAUGAAUUAGUCUUUUCUGUUGCUUUUAGCAUUAUAGUUUUGUAUUUUUUUGUAGUGUGAUCAACGUUUGUGUAAGUAGUAGAUGUGUUGGGGAAGUAACACAUAACAUUUUAAUUACAUUUUGCUAAAAUGAAAGAAGUGACUCGAAAAAAGAUUUGUUCAUUUUGCUGAACGAGACUCAAAGGUCCGAGUCGAUAAAAUGAUCCGAACUUCCCAUCACUAGUUGUCACUUUAAAAGUAUACAGUACACUUGUUUCCGCUUCACGCGCGCACUUUGCCCACUUAGUUCACUUCCUUCCGAGCCGAGAGAAGUUUGUCUCGUGGUCCGUCAAGGUAUUAAACGGCAAUAUUCCUUACAUUUGAUGAUAUAUUCUGAAUUGAAGCUGUUUCUUGCUUUGUUAAACAUACCUUGUAUGUGGGAUUAUGAAAUCGUAUUUGUGAAUGAUUGCAAUUGUGACUGUUUGCGAUUGUGAGUGAGAUUAGAAUAUAUUUGCCUGCUGUAUUUACUCUUCCUUUGCCAACAGGUGUUUACUUAAAUGAAGAGAGUCACAAAAUUAAUGUUUUCAACAAAUUUCCCCAUUUAUGCAGAAAAUAAAGACAGUGUCAAGCAGUAAAAGGGUCUGAAGUUUCUUAAUUGAGUGACAUCAACACAACGCAGAGUGGAUUCCCCUUACCUGGGACCCAUUACAAUGGUGCCGUGACCUUUUAAAGAUCCAUCCAAAGUGUUUGUUCGCCGAGGGAAGCUGCAGUGUCUGGUUUUGGUUUUUUUUUUUUUUUUUUCCUCAAGGACUGAAGGACUAUUUUAUAUGAAAGUGGACUGUUUUUCUAAGAAGACACGUCACCAAUUUGAAUUCAGACUUUAUUAGCAAAAUAACAGACUGAUUGCUGUUAUCAAUUUAUGCUAUUCAGAACAAUAUUUGUGUUUGUUUAUUAUAAUAAAGUUGAAGUUAAUUGACUGUUA